AGAUUGAACGCUGGCGGCAUGCCUUACACAUGCAAGUCGAACGGCAGCACGGGAGCAAUCCUGGUGGCGAGUGGCGAACGGGUGAGUAAUACGAUCGGAACGUGCCCAAUCGUGGGGGAUAACGCAGCGAAAGCUGUGCUAAUACCGCAUAAGAUCUACGGAUGAAAGCAGGGGAUCGCAAGACCUUGCGCGAAUGGAGCGGCCGAUGGCAGAUUAGGUAGUUGGUGAGGUAAAGGCUCACCAAGCCUUCGAUCUGUAGCUGGUCUGAGAGGACGACCAGCCACACUGGGACUGAGACACGGCCCAGACUCCUACGGGAGGCAGCACGUGGGGAAUUUUGGACAAGUGGGACGUAAAGCCUGAUCCAGGCCCAUAGCCGCGUGCAGGAUGAGCCGUUCGGUGUAACUGCUUUGUACGGAA
rnacentral:rRNA from 1 species